CGCACACGUGCACACGCAGAAUAGCGUGCAAGAAGUGAAGUGUUAAUAAGUGGACAAUAAUAUUGGAGUGUGUCCGGUGCUGCAGUCGGUCGUGAUGGCUUCAGAGGAGGACAACGCGCUGCUCUUCCUCAUCUACCAGCACCUGAAGGUCAGCGGCUUCAGCAGAGCCGCCAGGCUGCUGGAGAAGCACGUUUCUCAGGUGGAGACACCAGAGGAGAGUUCUAACCUACAUGACAUCUACACGGGCUGGAUGAAGCUGUGCUCUCUGGCCCAACAUGCCAAGCAGGAGACAGAAGACUCCAACGAUCUAAAGAAGGAAAGCAUCAAACCAGAACCUGCCACCAGCGAAGAAGAAGGUGCUGCAGAGACUGAACCCUCCAACACCACCGAAGAAGAGUCCAAAGCAGAUGUUGUCGAUUCAUCAAACGGAGAUGCUGAUAAAGACUCUGAGCAGCUGCUGGAUGUCGCUGAUAAAACUCAAACAUCAAACUCAGGCAGCGAAGAAGAAAAGAUGGAGGAGCAGGAGACGGAAACAAAGCCAGAGUCAGCUACUACUGAAGUGUCUGCUGAGGCCACGAACAAGGCAGAAAGUUCCAAUUGUGCCUCUUCAGACUCUGAAGAAAUGGCUGAACCCACCGAGGGCGACCCCGAGCAACCAGCCUCUGAUCAGACUGAAGGACACCUGCAGGCUGAAGGUCCAGCCGAGAAGAUGGAGGCGGAUGAACUGAAGCAGGAGCCACAGGCUGCCACAAACCCCUCCGAGGUCGCAGAUGAAGCUUCUGCAUCUGAGCAGACUCAUGCCGAUCGAACUAAAGCUCCAGUUUGUGUCACUCAGGAGGACGGCGAGUCCUCAGAAGAUGAGCAAGAAACAGCUGCAGAGAAGCCCAGCGAGGCCGAGCCCAGCACUGCAGAGCCGACGGCCGAGGAGGCCAAUGAGCAGCCGGUAGAGACCGAAGCCCCGCCCCCUGCAGGAAAAAGAAGCUCCUUGCACCUCCUUUUCACUGGAAACACUUCAUCUCUAGCUGUUGAAGCACAGAACAUUCGGAUCAUUUCACUUUAUUGGAAGAAAAAUGGAAACAGAAAAGAAAAUGCUGACAGUGGCGAUAAAAAUCCAAAAGAGGAUGACGACGCGAAAGUAGAGGAGGAGGAGGAGAAAUCUGAGAAACCUGAAGACGAGGCGGAGAAGUCGACGAGCCAAAGUGACUCCGCUGACGUCUCCGCUGACGUCUCCGCUGACGUCUCCGCUGACGUCUCCGCUGACGUCUCCGCCGCUCACACUGAAGACCCGGAGGACUCCAUCAUCCUCAACAUUCAGGCCCCAGACGGCGAAGCAGCCGAGCGAGAAAGCAGCCAACUGCUCCCUGAGGAGGCUCCCGAAGACUCCAAAAGCCCCAAGAAGAAGAAAAAGAAGAACAAAAAGGAUGCGAAGACGUCCGCAGAAGAUGCAUCGAUCACAGAAACACCUGAUGCUGAUGCCUCCAACGUAGAUGCCCCCAGUGAUUCUCCUCUUACCGGCAAGUCUGCCAAAAAGAAAAAGAGAAACAAAAAGAGGCAUGAGGAGGUAGCGGCAGAGAAAGAGGAAGAUAAAGAAGAGGAGGAGAAGGAGGAGGAAGUGUCUCAGGUAGCUCCACCAGAGAAGAAGAAGAAAGCAAAGAAGAGGAAAAGGGAAAGAGAUGAAGUGGAAGACGAGGAAACUCCCGACGCUCCUUCGGAAAACAAGAUUAAAAAGAAAAAGAAGCAAUUAACAGAAGUGGAGGAGGAGACGGUGGAGAACCCUGAGACAGCGGGGGAGACGAAGAAGAAGAAGAAGAGGAAGAAGAAAAAGGAAGGAGGUCAGGAAAAAGAAGAGGUGCAGUCUGAAGAAAACCCAGCAGGGGGCGACAAAGACACAGAAGAGACACCAGAGGCUGAAGAUGGAAACUCUUCUCUGGUCUCCUCAGCCAAAAAGAAAAACCGUCUCAGGAAGAAGCUCAGUCUAAAGAAGAGAUUAAGACUGCAGAAGAAAGACGGCACGAUGAUGAUGAUGAUGAUGAUGAGGAAGACGAAGAACAACAACUUGGCUGCAAGACAGAACGUCUCAGGGAAAAAGAAGCACAAACACAUCCAGGAGGAGCGUGAGGAGACGCCGCAACCAAACAAGCCAAACAAAAGACCUCCGGCCGACGGCGUCCAGGAGGACGAGACACCAAAGAGGAAGAAAAAGACGACGGUCAGCAGUGAACAAGAGGAAAGCUCGUCAAAGGAAAACAAACCUCCCAAAGCAAAGAAAGAGAAGAAGAGAUCGGUGCAAAGUGAAGAGGCAAACGAUGUGAACGCAGAGUAUCCUGAUGCUGACUCGUCUACGCUUUCUGAUGAGAAGAAGAAGAAGAAGAAAAAGAAAACGAAGGCAGUUCAAGGCGAGGAGACGACAGACGAUUCGACCCCCAUCGCUGUGAGCCCAGAAGCACCUGCUAAGAAAAACAAGAAGAACAGACUAAUGGACAGACUGGAAGAGCCAGAACCUGCUGCAGACAAACUCACUCCUCCAGCUGUUUCUACGAAAAAGAAGAAAUCCUCCAAAAAGAAGAGAACAGAUUGAAUCUGGAUUUAGUGGAGGAUGAUCCUGUCUUGGACCUGAAAGCCCGGAAACCAACAUGAGCAAUUUUAGUGCCUUUUCUAAUGAUUGUUCUGUCUCAGAUGAAAGGUUUUUGUCUUUUUUUUUUAGUCUCAGAAAAAGAUUCGUGAGUAAUGAUGAUUGUUGUCAGCCACAUUUUCACUGUCUUUUGUUCUUAAACUGUGAAUUCAACAUGGUACAUCUGCACCUGCAGUUCAGAUGCCUUCACCAGAUCCAGCACACUGCUUCAUAAUGAAUCUCUGACUCCUCGACAGACUUUUGAACCAUAAGUUUAAUUAAACAACUUAUUUCUUGCGCUGGAUGGCAUUUCAAAUAUUUCAUAGUGCAGCAAUGUAUUUGUAAAGGAAGCCAAAGUGUGGCCUUAAAUAUAGAUUUUUUCAAUCAAAAAUAACAAAACAUUGGACUAUAAUGAAGUUUAUUUUCAUUAUUGGUGAAUUUGUUCUAUAUAACAUCUAAUAAUUUGGUCAAAAUGCCCCAAAAGCCAAAGAUAUUUUACACUGGGACUUGAGAAUGUUUGGAUGUUAUUUCUACUACAGCGCAGCUCCGUUUUCAAUAAAAGCCUGUAUUGUUAAAGCUACAAUCGGCAUGUGAUCCUAACUGAUCAAAUUUUUGAGGGCAAACUUUCAUAUUCACAACCAUUUUUCUUCUUACCUUCACCGGAUGUUGAGUAAAACUCUUCUGGGUGAUGAACUGCAGACGAACCAUGUUGGGAAACUCUUCAUCUCUUAACUUCAGUUGGAAAUGAGCUUCAGGGGAGCAAGCUGUGAAAGGAAGAUUUCAAAGUGGAUCAUGUUUUUUAACAGUUCUGUCGGCAUUAAUGAACUGUUUCAGAAAUACUUUUCAGUAGGAAGCGUGGAUUUGUUUGGAGGAAGAGCUUUUUUUGUGUUACUGAUGUCUGUUUACUUUUUUCUGUCGGUCACAAGCUGUGAAGUGAGAAUCCCUCUGCACCCUGUCCAUCCUUGGAAAUUUAAGGUUUCAGUCCUCAGACCUUCUUCAACAGAGACCAGGCUGGACAGACGCAGCCAACUCAUUGUUCAGACGAGGCAAAACCAGCAAAAGGCACAUUUAGGGAAACAGGCAGCGAAUCCCACCAGCGGAGCUGGACGUCCUGCAAUGUAGAAGUCCUUCACUGCAUUUCCAAACACAUGGUUGUUUUUGGCAAGUUGCAGGGGACACAUAAGUGUAAAAAUACGACUUGCUUCAGUCAGUAGUUCUACUGUGGAAAGCAGAGGGCCAAAAACAACCGUCGGUUCAAAAGACACCACUGCAGACAAUCAUUUUCACCAAACUUUAGACACGCAGGAAUGGACUUAAUGUGAACGUACAAUGCAGGACACUCAACCCAAUCAGUCCCACUUGAGUCUCACCAGGGGGAGUUUCUGAGGACUGGAACCUUGGAUUUCCUAGCAGGGACCACGUCUCUUACCUCUGGAUAUUUCCUCCUAUACACCAACACAUCUACAGGAAGCAGUAGAUGUGCAUGAGCCUUUACAGACAUGUUUACCUUGAUGGACUUUUCAACUAUGCACUUGAUUAAAUCCCGUUGCUGUUGAUUGAGGGACUAAAAUCGUUGUUCCCGAGGACCAACAUGUUUAGACACAAAUCGAUCUGUACCAGCUUUGAUUUUACUGUUGUUCAUUCAUACUGUUACAUGUGUGUUAAGUUACUGUAAUUAUCAGUGUUUGAGCCAAAAUCCAUGUCAAAAUCAAACUGGGAAACUGAUCAUCUGAUCUGAUUAUACAUUACAAAACAGUUUUUUUUAAAGGAUAUUAAACCCAAAUGUAAAGGGUUCUGAACACAGUCACAUUGCAUAUGGUCCUCACGUUUAUUUCACAAGAGCAUAUUUCACUUUUCUCUACUCUGUGCAUCUGACUUCACACUACAGUGAAAACGCUGCAUAAAAACAAAAUUCAUCUUUAUAACAUGCAUAAACACUUGAAGCUCAAGGAUUCAAAGUCUACAUGAACCACAUUUUAAAAUAGACAACUUAAAUAUCACAUUUAUAUUCAGGAAUUAUGUUACAUUUUACAAUUUCAGGGCUGAACUGAGUAACUUGGAUUCUUACGGGGGAAAAAAAACAACAAAAAACAAACUAGCUGCACAAUUACAGACAAAAAUAACACAAAAUGAAUAUUAAUUAAUGAAUAUUAAACCUGAGGCUGAUUUCAGACAUUUUUCAAAACAAUCCCACAUUUGAUAUUGAAUAUUAUUUUGGAUACAGAAAUUUGAUUUAGGAUUCAGUUUUAUAUCUCUUAUUUUAAAUGAAUAAAUCAGUUCAUCUAAACCUUCUGGUCACAAGCGAACCAGCAGUUGUUUGUCUUUGUCUCCACACUUAAAGAGAGAAAAGUGCAGGUAGUUUAGAGUUGAUACUGACAUCGAUUCAUUAAACUUUGAGGAGAAAUGAGGCCUUUCAAACUCUCGGUGUCUCUGUUUGCUCACCGGUUAUAACAAAGCAGCCGUCUCUCUCGGCUUUUUCCCUGAAACAGAAAUCCUUAAAUUCAACAUGUUGGGCAGUUUGUGAGCACAACUUAAUUGUCUCAACUCCAAACAACACGUGUGGUUUUUCUUAAAAUAACAAAGCUGCAUUUUACAGGCUCUGUAUUUUAUAGAUAUUCUCCAGGAAUCCUUCCUUGUAAUCUCUGAAGAAUUCAAUGCAUUUUAGGUGUAAAUUGUGAGCUUAGUUAGCUACAAUUUGGAAAUAAUUAAAAGGUAAAUGGAAGUAUUAAGUGAAAGAACGUUAAUACGCUGGUGACAACAGCCAUCUGAGUUUCCCUAAAACACCAACAAAAAUUCUACUUAAGCUACAAAAUGUUCCACACUGAGUCAGUUUAUUUACUUUGUGAAUAAAUAUGACGAAAGCAGAACAGCUGAUUCUGUAAAUGCCACUAAAGCAGAUCUAUAAGACAGCAAGAAUUAAAAUUAAGCAGUUUUAUGUCCUGAUUUCUCUGGUAAACUUCAUAAACUUGUAGAUGUCCGAUCAUUUUUCACUUACCUACUACAGAAUUAAACUAGAACUGCAGCAGCUAACUCCAUUUCUCUUAGAAUUAAGACCAAAUUGUUCCGGACCUACUUCACAUUUACAGCUAAGAUCAGCCAAGUGUUGGAAAGUGGGAGGAAAGUUCCCUGAAAAAUACAAGACCCAUAAAAACCGUGAAACAGCAGAUUAGAGGGGAUAGGUUUGAUUAAAUAAAUACUGCACAUGUAAAUGUUGUUCAUGUUUUCUGCUAAAUGUUUUUCACAUUUCUGAUCACUGUUUCUUCCAUUAAAACAUUUUGUCUCUAAACUUUACUUUUGUUUCAUUCAGCAAAUAACCGUUGACAUGUGACGCAUUCAUCAAAAUAAAAACGUGAAUCAACAGGGUAAAGUGUAACAUCAUGUUAAACUGCUUUAAACAAUACUUAAGGUACAAAAUUUUAAAGUUUGUAUGUGAUUUUUUUGUCGUGUGCAGCUCCUUCUGAGUUUUUCAGGACAACAAAAGGAAGUUUUCGCUCUUAAAACUGAAAGUCACUUGUUAAAAAUUGCAAAAAUUCAAUAAAAUUUUAACUAUUUUACAGUCAAAACAACUGGCUGUAAGAUUUUUCAAGACAUCAAGUGAAAACCUUCACUAAAAGCCUCGUUUAAAGCCUGUAGAAGAAAUACAAAGUCUUACAUUUUUGUCUUUUCUGCAAAAAAUGUCUGCAUUCUGUCACAAAUGAUUGAACAUAUUUGGUUGAAAAAAAAAAUCACAAUUCUUGCUGAAUAAUUUUUUUUUCCAACACAGAACAAUUGCAAAAUAAUUUGGGUUUAUCUGUCUAUUUCUAUCUGGGUCCACAUCACAUUUAUUUAAUUCACCAGGAAUUAUUGUUGUAUACAGUGUAUUGGUGAAACUUGGCAUUCAUAUCAGUUUUAUGUGGUAGAAACCUUUUCUUGAUUCUAGCAAAACAAUUAUUCAAAUGUGUGAAUUUCUUGAUAGAAAAUUACAAACAUUCUUACUGCACUUGUAGAUUUUUCGCUUGUUUUACAGAAAAAAAUGGUUUGAUUAUUUUUUUUGCCGCUCCAGUUCCAUGCAUAAUAACGAUGGUUCUCUUCUGUUUUUAAUUUAGAUCCCCUUAAACUCUGAAGCAUUUAUGCUGACAGUGACACAAACAAGCCACCUUUUCCAUCAAAAUAUAUACAUCUAUAAACUUAAGUCUUCAUUUUGAAUUCAUCAACACUAAAUGUGUUUUCUGUCCUGCUGAUGAAUGAAACAUUCAGCUUGGUGUGCAUAAAGUAGAUUUGCAUGGUUAGAUAAGUCUUCUUGGACUUUUUUUUUUGCAAUAUUUAGAUGAAACGACACAAAAUUGAAAUUAAUUGGCUAAAAAUCUAGUAAACAAGACUAUUGAUAGUGAUUUAAUUCAAACUGAAAUCUGACUUCCUUUUUAGUUUAGAGUGGUUUGGAAUAGGAGUUUAGUUUUGACUGACAUUUAUUCUAAUAAGUUUAAGUAUAAAGAAGUUACAAUACCAUCACUGUUCCCUCUAAGCUGCGCGCGUGCGCAAUUGCGCACUGCUGACACGGUCUCCGCGCACAGAAAAUCUGCGCUGCGCGCAAAAAAAAAAUCCAACCUAAAUUGUAAAUAAAAUAAACACGUAACAAUUCAUUCUGUGCUAUUUUUCAAUGCGAGUCAGUGAGUGACCGGUGACUGGCUGCUGCAGCCAAUGAUGCGAUUCACAUACGUAUUUACCAUAGACUGUAUAUAAUGGUAUUUACGCAGCUAAUCAACGUCAGGCGUCCUUAUGUGUAGCCACCUUGUUCUCAUAGAUAUGAAUGAGUAGAUAGGACACGCCCCUUGAGCUGCGUGCUACAGCGAGGCUAAGCUAGUGAGGGCAAAGUUUCAGUGCAUUCCGUUGAUGUAGACGGCGUGAAAACGGAAACAAGAAGUAUGCCAGCUCACUGUGCAGCAUACAGUUACACACUACGUCGUACGAUUGAGACAAGGAAACUUGGAAUGACUUUUCAUAGGUAAGAAUAGUUUUUGGCUCUUUUUUCAUUAUGAAAUCUUGUUGAGAGCUUCCAGUCUAUGAGAGCUAACUAGUUAGCCACUAGCAAAACGCUAAGGCGAGCUAGCAGCUUGACAACCAAAUACCAGACGAUUAAUAGUAGCUGUAGUAUAGUUGUACAAGCAGUAGUAGUAAUACUAAAAGUACAAGCAGCAGUAGUAGUAUAAACAGCUGUUAGAGUCGUAGAAGUAGUAUCAGAAUUUGUAAUAGUAUUACAAGUUGUAGUAGCAGUGCCAGUAUCAGCAGCAGUAGUUAAUAGUCACAUUGCUAUUACUACCACCAAUACUACCAAUAGUAGUUAUAAAGCCUAACUCAUAUAUAUCCAGAUUACCAUCUAUGUUCUUCCUCCAAACCCAUUUUAUGAUUGGGAUUACAGGCAGUUCUUUAGGACUGCUCUCAAAUAAUUGAAAUGUUACUAAACAAGGUUAUACUUAUCAAAUUAAAUAGCUCUGGUCUCCAGUAUAUUGGCAAAUUCGGUUCUUUGUACUUCAUUUAUUAGCAUGAUUUCUUUUUAAUAUGUUGUGUACAGACUUAAUUACUUCUCUGUCUACUUUUCUUACUCCAUGUAGGUUUCCCAGAGACUAUGGUUUGAGGAGGAAUUGGAAGUUUGUCGGCUUAGACCUGGUGUCAUUCCAUCAGUGUUAAACUUCCCGGCUCAUCUUGGAAGAGUACGUGCCAGAAAGACCACGACCAAGCAGCCUUGAGAUCUUAGGCAGCGUCUCCCUGAGGUCCCUCUCUAUCUCCCCACACAUCCACCAACCACUGGAACACAUCUCCAAAGUUGUGCCGGGCCAGCUCAGCUUCCCCUCAGAAGAAGUUCCACCACCUGCCAGAUGAAGGAGCCUUUUGAGAGGCAGCUGGCAUCGUGAUUGGACUGUACUUUGGUCUGUUCCAAUCCAGCUUCAGCUCCAGAGACGGCAGGCGGGACGAGUCAACGGAGGCCUGGUGGACGAAGGCAUGAAGCUGAGUACAAUCCAGAAAACAACAGAGGAGGAGUGCAGAGGCCCAGGGCCAGAACAAACAGAGUAGCAUCGUAUGUCUCUUAGAAAACAUCAUAUAUCACGAUAUGGAUUAUUUUAUAUCACGAUAACGAUAUAUAUGAUGAUAUACCACAACAAAGUACGUUUUCAGUUAUUCUCUGAAAAGUUUGACAAAAAUUUCAUUGCUUACUUUUCUCCAUGAAACUUUAACCUGUUGCUAGGGCUGGACCCGAAUAUUCGGUCCCCAUGGUGGUAUGCGGAUAUUAAUUUUGAGGUCCGAAUAUUCGCCCCCUCCUACCUCCACCCCCACCCGGCUCUUUCCUCCGUUAGCUCACCGCCUCUGACGUCACGGACCGAACCGAAUAUUCAAGUCAUUCCUCCGUCCGUCCGUCAAAUCCCCCCCCCCCGGACGUUAAGGAGGGGGACCGAAUAUCCGGAGCCCAGAAACUGCUAUUCGGGCCAGCCCUACCCUCCAUCGUUCAGCACUCAUGAGUUAAGUAAUAUAAAGCAUGUCGCAAACCCGCGUGAGAAUCAAAGAACGUAAAGCAGCGUCAUGUCGCAAAAACCAAAAGACAGAGUUCCUUUGCGAAAAAUCUCUUUUUUAUUCUUCUUUAUUUUCACGUAUAUAAACUUAGAAUAUGCAUAGUGACAAGAAAACACUAAUACAAUCGUCGCAGGCUAUUUAAUGAUAAAUUUGCUGUAAUAAUUGAUAAAAUUAGGUUAGAAACGAUAGAAACGAUAGAAGAGAAAUGGCACGAUAGACACUUUUCUAGCGUUCUCACUAUAUGUAUCGUCAUAUCGCCCAGCACUACAUCAUAGUAUAGCCUUUGGUAUGAAAAAACGCCGUCAUAUACAUCGUAUAUUGUACAUAUAACAAGUCAAAGGAAAGAGACAUACAUUGUAGAAUUGUAGUAAUUGUGGGCUGACUGAUUUACUGAUUAGCAGUAUUUUAUUUUUUACUGAUUUAUGGUAAUAAAUACAUUUAAAAAUGGCGCUA